rnacentral:rRNA from 1 species
AAUGACGUCAAGUCCUCAUGGCCUUUAUGACCAGGGCUACACACGUACUACAAUAGGCCGGGUACAAAGGGCAGCGACACAGCGAUGUGAAGCGAAUCCCGAAAAGCCGGUCUCAGUCCGGAUUGGAGUCUGCAACUCGACUCCAUGAAGUUGGAAUCGCUAGUAAUCGCGGAUCAGCACGCCGCGGUGAAUACGUUCCCGGGCCUU